GAGUUUUGAUCCUGGCUCAGGAUGAACGCUAGCUACAGGCUUAACACAUGCAAGUCGAGGGGAAACGGACAUCGAAAGCUUGCUUUUGUAUGGGCGUCGACCGGCGCACGGGUGAGUAACGCGUAUCCAACCUGCCCACCACUUGGGGAGUAACCUUGCGAAAGUAAGACUAAUACCCAAUGACGUCUCUAGAAGACAUCUGAAGGAGAUUAAAAGAUUUUAUCGGUGAUGGAUGGGGGAUGCGUCUGAUUAGCUUGUUGGCGGGGUAACGGCCCACCAAGGCGACGAUCAGUAGGGGGUUCUGAGAGGAAGGUCCCCCACAUUGGAACUGAGACACGGUCCAAACUCCUACGGGGAGCA
rnacentral:rRNA from 1 species